rnacentral:rRNA from 1 species
UCGCCUGUUUUACAAAAACAUGUCCUUUAGAAUUUAAUUUAAGGUCUAACCUGCCCAUUGAUUAUUUAAAAGGCCGCAGUAUUUUGACUGUGCAAAGGUAGCAUAAUCAUUAGUUUUUUAAUUGAAGGCUAGUAUGAAUGGUUGGACGAGAUAUUAGCUGUUUCAUUUAUAUUUUUAUAUAAAAUUUUACUUUUUAGUUAAAAGGCUAAAAUUUUAUUAAAAGACGAGAAGACCCUAUAGAUCUUAAUAAUUAAGAUAGUUUAUGGUUUUGUAGAAUAUUAAUUUACUUAAAAUAUCUAUAUUAUUUUGUUGGGGUGACAUUAAGAUUAGUUUAACUCUUAAAUGAAUUAUUUAACAUAAAUUAUUGAAUAUUUGAUCCUUAUUUUAAGAUUAGUAAAUUAAGUUACCUUAGGGAUAACAGCGUAAUUUUUUUGGAGAGUUCUUAUCAAUAAAAAAUAUUGCGACCUCGAUGUUGGAUUAAGAGAUAUAGCUGGGUGCAGCAGUUCAGUUGUUAAGUCUGUUCGACUUUUAAUUUCUUACAU